AUAUAAAUAAACUAAAUUUUAAAGUUUUUAGGUUCAUACCCUAAACAUAGAUAAUUAUUAUCUUUUAUAAA
rnacentral:tRNA from 1 species